rnacentral:rRNA from 1 species
CCUACGGGAGGCAGCAGUGGGGAAUUUUGGACAAUGGGCGCAAGCCUGAUCCAGCAAUGCCGCGUGAGUGAAGAAGGCCUUCGGGUUGUAAAGCUCUUUUGUCAGGGAAGAAACGGUGGGAGCUAAUAUCUCCUACUAAUGACGGUACCUGAAGAAUAAGCACCGGCUAACUACGUGCCAGCAGCCGCGGUAAUACGUAGGGUGCAAGCGUUAAUCGGAAUUACUGGGCGUAAAGCGUGCGCAGGCGGUUUUGUAAGUCUGUCGUGAAAGCCCCGGGCUCAACCUGGGAAUUGCGAUGGAGACUGCAAGGCUUGAAUCUGGCAGAGGGGGGUAGAAUUCCACGUGUAGCAGUGAAAUGCGUAGAGAUGUGGAGGAACACCGAUGGCGAAGGCAGCCCCCUGGGUCAAGAUUGACGCUCAUGCACGAAAGCGUGGGGAGCAAACAGGAUUAGAUACCCUGGUAGUCCACGCCCUAAAACGAUGUCUACUAGUUGUCGGGUUUUAAUUAACUUGGUAAACGCAGCUAACGCGUGAAGUAGACCGCCUGGGGAGUACGGUCGCAAGAUUAAAACUCAAAGGAAAUUGACGG